rnacentral:rRNA from 1 species
CUCAGAUUGAACGCUGGCGGGAUGCUUUACACAUGCAAGUCGAACGGCAGCACGGACUUCGGUCUGGUGGCGAGUGGCGAACGGGUGAGUAACGUAUCGGAACGUGCCUAGUAUGGGAUAACUACGCGAAAGGUAGCCGGCUAUCGCAUUACACCUUCGUGGAAAGCGGGGACCUUCGGGCCUCGCACUAUUAGAGCGGCCGAUAUCGGAUUAGCUAGUUGUAGGGGAACGUCACCAAGGCGACGAUCCGUAGCUGGUUUGAGAGGACGACCAGCCACACUGGGACCGAGAUACGCCUGACUCUACGUGGGAGAAGCAGUGGGGAAUUUUGGACAAUGGGGAAACCCCGAUCUAGCCAUCCCGCGUGCAUGAAGGCCUUCGGGUUGCAAAGCACUUUGCGGCAGGAAAAGAAACGGCACGGGAUGAAUACCCCGUGCAACUGAUUGUACCUGGUAAUAAGCACCAUGGAAUCACGUGCCAGCAGUUGUAGAAUACGUAGGGUGCAGCGUUAAUCAACUACUGGGCGUAAAGCGUGCGCAGGCGGUUCGGAAAGAAAGAUGUGAAAUCCCAGAGCUUAACUUUGGAACUGCAUUUAACUACCGAGCUGGUAGAGUGUGUUUGAGGGAGGUGGAAAUUCCGCGUGGUAGCAGUGAAAUGCGUAGAUAUGCGGAGGAACACCGAUGGCGAAGGCAGCUCUGGGAUAACACUGACGCUCAUGCACGAAAGCGUGGGGAGCAAACAGGAUUAGAUACCCUGGUAGUCCACGCCCUAAACACGCCUAACCAAUGUUGGGGCCUUCGGGCCUUUGGUAGCGCAACUAACGCGUGAAGUUGACCGCCUGGGGAGUACGGUCGCAAGAUUAAAACUCAAAGGAAUUGACGGGGACCUCGCACAAGCGGUGGAUGAUGUGGAUUAAUUCGAUGCAACGCGAAAAUCACCUCACCCUUGACAUGUUCAAUCCCGAAGAGAUUUUGGGAGUGCUCGCAAGAGAACCGAACACAGGUGCCGCAUGGCUGUCGUCAGCUCGCAAUGAGAUGCUGGGUUAAGUCCCGCAACGAGCGCAACCCUUGUCAUUAGUUGCUACGAAAGGGCACUCUAUCGAGACUGCCGGUGACAAACCGAGGAAGGUGGGGAUGACGUCAAGUCCUCAUGGCCCUUAUGGGUAGGGCUUCACACGUCAUACAAUGGUCGGGACAGAGGGUCGCCAACCCGCGAGGGGAGCCAAUCCCAGAAACCCGGAUCGUGGUCCGGAUCGCAGUCUGCAACUCGACUGCGUGAAGUCGGAAUCGCCAGUAACGUGAUCAAAAAGGCCGCAGUGAAUACGUUCCCGACCUGUACACACCGCCCGCCCGUCACACCAUGGGAGUGGGUUUUACCAGAAGUGAAGCAGUAGUCAACCGGGCGAGGCGAUUACCACGUGAGAUUCGGUGACUGGGGUGAAGUCGUGGCAAGGUAG